GGAAGGAGCCAGCGCUGUUGAGACUGUGAGAGUCCAGCAGCGGAGUCAUUUGGGAGAUUACCCUGGCCAGUCUGUGAUCAAAGG